CAUGGUAAAAAAAUUAAAAAAAACGAAAGAAACAAUAAGCGUCUCUGGCAGUAGCUGACUAAAAUGUCAAUCAAAAUUACCUGCGCAUCCACACACCGACACAUAUCGACAAAUUAUUAAUCAAAUUUCAUGUUGCGACACAAUGAAUUAAACAAUCUUGCCCGAUAGUUGGAUAACCGAUUUUUGCUACUUCAAUACACUUAAUCCUGUCGGGGAAAGAUAAAAAACAAAUAAAAGAACCACAACAAAUGACAAUUUGCGCACACGAAAUUAAAUUGAAGACGAACACUUAAGGAAAAGGGGAGUACAAAGGGAAAGGACUACUGAGCGGCGGCAAAGAAAAGUAGCUAUGGAAAUCGGGUAUGUGCAGGGAAACGCGUCAACGCAUUCAAACGACGCACCAAGCCGCGUCUGUAACACACCAAAGUCACCGCCAACAAAUGUCAAAAUGCGUUUUUGUGGCUGUCAACUGUCAACGCCGUUGAGGUACAAAAAUGUCUAAUCAAGCAUUAGAGAAUGUUUUCACAAAAAAACUGGACCUGAACUAGAAACUAAGGCGAUACUUAGGCGAUACGAGGCAUAGAACGGAAUUGAAGACUCAAUGAGGCAAAAAAAAACUGUCAAUAAGAAGCGGCGCGUCAAUGUCAGCGCUUUGCAGGAAUUUUCAACGCGAACGCGAUACAAAAGGUGACGUUUUGGAAUCAAACAGCGAAAGCAAAACUAAAUUAAAAAGAGACACUGUGAGUGAGCGACAAAGCAAGGACGGGGGAGAAAUGGAAGGGUAAAGUGAGUUGAAGUGAAGUGAGGCAAAGGAAAGAUAUGCGAGAAUGAACAACGUGUCUACACCAAGCCGUUUUCGCAGGCUUUGUAUUCAAAUAAGAACAAGAAAGUAAUAACAACAAUAAAAGCAAUCUCAAAGCAAGCGGGUGUACAGCAGUCUGCAUUGCGGUCUGAUCUUUACAAGAUCGCUCUCAAUGAAAAACAAAAAAAUUUGACAAAAAAAAAAUAAUAAAAGGAAAGAAAGCAAACCGCGCAGCAAUUGAGCAAAGGCAGAAGAAUGACAGUCAAGAAAUUGAAAGAUUGAAAAAUAUUAGGAUAUUAAAGCACCAAAAGAGUGGCGUGUUAAGCCAGCCGGUGUGGCAGAGACCGUGAGUCGCUCGCAGUUAUGCGGCUGCAACUGUUGGUUAGGCAACUGCGUUACCCAAAUCAAAAUCUUGAUCCUGCGUUGAUUGUCGAAACCUUUCAUGUGUUUGCUAAGCCAAAGUGAAAAAAAAAACUGAGAACCGAGAUAAUCAUCUGCCGAACUGUCGAAUGCUACUUAAAACCUCAAUCUUUGGUUGGCUUUGGGAAUUUUUCUCUCUUUUGCGCCAUAGCAGCAGUUGUUCCUUUGUUAUUUUGUGGGUUUCAAAUAAAUUGAUUAGACAGAUGUACAUAUGUAUGUACAUACGUAUGUCUGGUACUCGUUCGUGUAAAUUAGAAAUUACGCGUGUAGGUGCCGGCAUAUUACAGGUAUCUAUUGCGUGUUGAGCUCAAGUGGUAAGGACUUAAGUUGAAGGACGAUGACUGGCGCGAUUACAGCACACAAUCUCUCAAAUAUUUUGGAGUUCAUAUUUUUAAGCGGGGAUUUCUCAUUAUUUGUAUGCCUUGAAGGCCACACUAGAAGGCUUUGGUGUGUAAACCUCACUGCUCUUCAAAAAAGCUGCUUUUUGUAUAAGAACUGCGGCCUUAGUUACGUCGGUCGAUUUUCAAUCUCUCGACAUGUCAACAAAAAUAUAAAUACCUCCCAGGGCGGUGUUCUCUCAACCAUUCACAAAAUUUUAGCACAGCAGAGCAGAGUAAAAAAAGGCUAAUUUGAUCACUGCCUUUUCCGAUGACACAGUAGUAGAAGAAGAAGAGGAAGUUUCAACGAACAUGAUCCAAUGCAGUCAGAACUUUGUAAGGCGUCAUUGUGAUCCAAUUGCUGUAAUGGAAGUAAUGGAACGGUGGUAAAUUGGGUUCACCUAAGUCUGUACUGUGUUGUCGCAGAACUGGUCAAAAGACGGCUGAAUCGAUUAUGCAGUGACACAGUCAUGGAGGUGAACUGCAAGGUAGAUCAACUUGUAGGUUCAAGUGCCACCAGGCAGAGGCAUUUGUAAACAUCUCGCCCCUGCACAAGGCUGAUUUAGACAUUUAUUUACAGACAGACUGAGUGAAAAUGGGAAAAAUAGUUGUCGUGUCGCAAAUCGGCACAAUUAUGGCGGAAAUUCAAGUGCCGGGAUGUUAUCUUAUAUUAUGGCAUUUAGAAAGACUCGACUGGAAGACGCUCUAGGGAUUGGAACGAGGAGGAGGACACAAUUUUCCACCCAUCAUGCAGAUGAUGUGUUUUAAGAAAAAUAUAUUACCGAAUAUUGGAGUCUCGGUAGAAAGAAAUUUCCUUUAACACAUUAUUCCUUAAAACCCCGACUGCACUUUUAAUUCGUUUUUCUUUUACUUCCCACAAAAACGAAAUUUAUUGGCAAUGUCUCUUAGCUCGUUGCUGUUUACUAUGUAUAUGCAAAAAUAAUGGCUCGAUUCGCGUGAUCAAUAUUUGGUCCAUGUAAUCGCCCAGCAGAGUCGGUAAUUCGAGCAACGAUGGAUGUUAAGAGACGCCCGUACCGUUCGCACCGAAGCCACUACUGCUGCUGUAGAGCAGAGUAUAGAAGAAGACCCGAAUGACUCCGGCCGCCAACGCGCGAAACAAUCGGAGCUGUAUCGGUACUCUUUACGGAAAAUUUUCCGGAAGCAUCUUGGUUUGCGGGCUUACAAAAUCCAACUCGUGCAAAAAUUGAACCCGAACGAUCUUCGAGCGCUUCGCACGUGCGGUGAAUGGGAUCAAAACGAGAUGGCCACCGAACGCAAAUACUUACACCAAAAUUAUAUACAGAUAUGAAGCUCACUUUUGAUUGAAUGGGUACAUUAAUAAACAAAAUUAUCACAUUUGACGUGAUGAUAAUGCCCAAACCAUUGUUGAGACGCCAUUACAACAUUAAAAAGUCACCGUUUCGUGUGCCCUACGGGCAGAGGGAAUCAUUGAUUCAAAUUUCUUAAGAAAUUUCGCUGGUCAUAAUAUUACAGUCAAUGGUGGGCGGUUCAAAGCGGUGAUUAAAACUUCUUUCUUGCCUGAUUUUGAGGAUGUUAGCAGGGACGUCCUUUGGUUUCAAAAAAAAAUGGUGCUUUAUGCCAUGCAGCCAAUGAGAAAACCACUUCGUUACAGCAAACUUUUGGUGAACGCAUUAUCUCGCAUCUGGAACCGUGGCGUGGCCUCGAAGAUCGUGUAGCUUAAUGGCGCUGAACUAGUUUUUGUGAGGUUAUGUGUAGUAGUCGCUUGUCCACGCAGAUAAGCCCGAGAUGAUUGACGCCUUGAAAGAGAAUAUUUGUCGCGUUAUACGACAUACAGCAUCAGUUGCUGCAAAAAAUGGUUUAAAAUUGGGCUUCUCGGCUUGAAGUUAUUCGAGCUAGCCGUGGGGUCACUUGCUCGAAAGCAUUUUUAAAACAUGAUAACUUAUAUUUUUAUA